AGCCAAUGCUGGAAACUCACUGAUGCAGGAUUAACGCAUUUAACACCUUUAACAGCUUUGCAGCAUCUAAAUCUACGCCAAUGCUGGAAACUCACUGAUGCAGGAUUAGCGCAUUUAACACCUUUAACAGCUUUGCAGCAUCUAAAUCUACGCCAAUGCUGGAAACUCACUGAUGCAGGAUUAGCGCAUUUGACAUCUUUAACAGCUUUGCA
rnacentral:sRNA from 1 species